rnacentral:rRNA from 2 species
UGAUUUAAUUUUGAACGAGUGGCGGACGGGUGAGUAACACGUGGGUAACCUGCCCUUAAGUGGGGGAUAACAUUUGGAAACAGAUGCUAAUACCGCAUAAAUCCAAGAACCGCAUGGUUCUUGGCUGAAAGAUGGCGUAAGCUAUCGCUUUUGGAUGGACCCGCGGCGUAUUAGCUAGUUGGUGAGGUAACGGCUCACCAAGGCAAUGAUACGUAGCCGAACUGAGAGGUUGAUCGGCCACAUUGGGACUGAGACACGGCCCAAACUCCUACGGGAGGCAGCAGUAGGGAAUCUUCCACAAUGGACGCAAGUCUGAUGGAGCAACGCCGCGUGAGUGAAGAAGGCUUUCGGGUCGUAAAACUCUGUUGUUGGAGAAGAAUGGUCGGCAGAGUAACUGUUGUCGGCGUGACGGUAUCCAACCAGAAAGCCACGGCUAACUACGUGCCAGCAGCCGCGGUAAUACGUAGGUGGCAAGCGUUAUCCGGAUUUAUUGGGCGUAAAGCGAGCGCAGGCGGUUUUUUAAGUCUGAUGUGAAAGCCCU